GACGAACGCUGGCGGCGUGCUUAACACAUGCAAGUCGAACGGAAAGGCCCUGCUUUUGUGGGGUGCUCGAGUGGCGAACGGGUGAGUAACACGUGAGUAACCUGCCCUUGACUUUGGGAUAACUUCAGGAAACUGGGGCUAAUACCGGAUAGGAGCUCCUGCUGCAUGGUGGGGGUUGGAAAGUUUCGGCGGUUGGGGAUGGACUCGCGGCUUAUCAGCUUGUUGGUGGGGUAGUGGCUUACCAAGGCUUUGACGGGUAGCCGGCCUGAGGGGGUGACCGGCCACAUUGGGACUGAGAUACGGCCCAGACUCCUACGGGAGGCAGCAGUGGGGAAUAUUGCACAAUGGGCGGAAGCCUGAUGCAGCAACGCCGCGUGCGGGAUGACGGCCUUCGGGUUGUAAACCGCUUUCGCCUGUGAUGAAGCGUGAGUGACGGUAAUGGGUAAAGAAGCACCGGCUAACUACGUG
rnacentral:rRNA from 1 species